UGUGCUCACCUGUCAUUUGGGGACGGGCAGCCAGGCUGGCUGAGCUGUAGUCAACUUCUCUGCCGUCUUAGUUUGGCUUCACAAACACUCUUUCCGCGGCUACGAGGCUGCUUUUAAAAUAUUAAGGCUUUCUGGACUGCGUUCAAGUGAAAAUGAAAUGGCUAAGCGGAUAUUUUCGGUGAUAGCUGGUGUCUACAGAACUCCUUCUUUCUCUUUCCCCCCGCACCUCCCUCCCUCUUCCUUCUUUCCAACCAGAUCUGGCCAUCUUAUAUAAUUCUGAUUGGCCUCAAAUUUUUAGUCUUCUUGAGUGCUGGGGUCACAGACUAUGCCACUGUGCCUGAGUCUGGUGAAACCUUUUCUGACAGCAGGAAGGAUCAUGGGUAUUGUGUGCACAGUAACUCCAUGGAGCCUUCACUGCAUGUUAUUGAACACCCAUACCACAAGCUGCUGUUAACCCUGAACCCAUUCUACAGAUGAAACUAAUCAAGGGAACACUGAAACACAUUGUUCCUGGUUAAGUACCUAGGUAGGACAAAGUUUAGAUUUUGAACCUGGGGGCCUCUGGCUCGUGAGCCAGCUAUGGAAAUGAGCUGGUUGUAGGUCUCUGGCAUAACAUUUGCUCCUGAUCUCUUCCUCAUACGGGAGCUGUGCCGACAGGCAGAGAAGCCGACAAGACUAUCCUUGUUGAAAGGGAGGCCAAACCAGUUGGUCUAGGCAGGGCCGAAAACUCUGAAGGCCCAGUUUCCCAGAAAUUACGAGGAUCUGCAACUGCCCCCUCCUUACUCUGUGCCUGAGUCCCGCAGAAGCCCUCCAGCACCCAAGCGGCUACCUGCUUCCAGCACAGGCCUUAAAUUGGCCGUGCUCGCCUGGGUCCGAGGAGCCUUCUUUACUCUCUGUGUGGUGGUCGGACAGCUAUCACCAAGCAGAUGAAAGCAGGGGUCCAACAAAGAGAAAAUGAAAUUUCCCUUGAGCUAUUUGCCCUGGCUGACGAACCCAAACCUCCCUUCCCAGGAUGAAGAAGGUCUGAUGUUCUGAUGUUGAGAGCAUCAAAGGCAGACUCCCUCAGCUGAGUAGUGACACUCGGAGGGAGGGAGGCUCAGCAGCCAGGCCUCCAGAACACCACUCCCACUGCUGCUGAAGCCAGACCCUUUGAAUGUCCCCUGUGUCAUUACUACCACCUCUGCCCAGACUUAACCUGGCCUGCCUUCUGCUCCUCUUCACCUGCCUCUGAAGCCACCAUCUGACGGAGACGGGCCCUGCUCGCCCUUCUCUGAAACCGCCUCAAAGUUCAAAGGUCAUAGGAGGAGUGCCCCCAAGGAAACACAGACGGGCUUCUCUCUCCAAUGACACGUCCAGAAAAAGCUUGUUUCUGGCUGCUACGUCUUCUCUUCCUAAUUUCAGGGCCAGUCAUAUUCAGAGAUGAUAUUUCAACCAUCCAAAAAAGAAAAAAGAAAGAACCAGAUAGAGACGGCCACACCACACACUGCAGAGAUGCUCACAUGCUCACAGCAUUAACAUUCUGUCGACCAGCCUCGAGCCUGAUGCCUGAUGCUAACGGGGACUCCAAUCUUCCUGUGGGCCCGUCACCCGCCCUCCCCUCACCGCAGGAUCAUCAUCCCCUUUCCCUCCCAGAGACUUUUUAAAGUGUCUCUCUGAAUUAAACAUAAAUUCCGAGCUGCUUGCAGCAUUUCUCUUAAAACACAAGGGUUUCAGGCUGGCGAUGGUGGUGGGUAGAAUUCAAACUCGUCUGCUUCCGAGCUAAACGGGACGACGACGCUAAGAGACGGCGGCUGGGAACCCGUUUAGACAGCCGCGGUGGCUGGAUGAGACGAGGGGCCUCUCCUUGAGAUUUGAGAAGACAAACAAGUGCUCUCCCCUUCCCUUUGUUUUUAGAAAUUAGGAUAGUUUUUCAACACACUGCCCUCUGCUACUCAGAGUGAACAGUCAGAGCACGGCUUUUAUUCCCAAGCUCACUAAGGCAAGUAAAUAGAAGCUUACAGGACAGAAUGAGGAAUGAUAAGCAAUUCCCACUGCUGCGAGUUCUUAAUAUAUAAAUUCAUCCCGCAGCAGUGGAGUAGCAACUGGCAAAGCCAGAAACAAUGGAAAGCUGGGCGGGCCUGGCUCCGCCGAGGUCAACCAUCAAGGUUAUCUAUACGCAAUUACUGGUAUCUACAAACUUGCAUAGCUGUCAGCUGGUCAGAGCCCAGAUGAAAACUCACCAUGCGCUCAGAAAGCAAAUAUAGUUUCUGAGGAGAGCCUCAAAUUAGCUCUGUGAAUGACUUGGCUUCCAGCGUGCACCAGCCACCCGCCUUUGGGGAACGUUUCUGCAGACAGUUCUUCAGUGUCUAAAUUUGGGCAUUGUCUCACAAAUCUCUGUUCCCGAAGUAGGAAAGAACUGGAAUUGCUCCUUAACCCUCGGCGACGAUAAAUUAUAUCACUUAACAAUAGAUAAGCUCCGGACACUUUUCCUGUGCGGAGCGCCCAUUGUGAGGUACCUUCUAAUCGUCAGCAUCUCCUCUCCCCGGUCGGCCCCGCUAAAGACCUGUCGGUGGGGAAGAGACACAAUAAUUUGUUUUCUAGCUCCUCCUUCGGUGCCAUCCAUCAUGUGUGGACACACAAAGCUGCUUAGCAGCAGAUAUGUAUCUGCUUCCGCUGGAGUUCCUCUUCCCAUCAGGCUAUGCCAAGGGGACGCGUUUGCAGAGCCACGCUGCUUCCAGAGCCUGGAGAUGGGGCCCCUGCCCUCCCGGGCCGGUGUGUGGAGAUGGGAAGAAAAGGCAUGCUGUGCUGCGCUGUGCUGUGCUGAAAAGGAGGCCUCUCAGUUCAGCCCCGCGGUCCACCUGAGGUCUGAGGAUGGCCUGUCUGCCCCACAGGUUCUGCUGGUCCUGCCCCCCACAGGGCACUCGUGGGUUAUUACCAGUUCAAUUCUCAGAAUCCCACAGAGAAGUCGGGAGGGCAGCAGCUUCUCUGGGAGGACGAGGAAGAUGGACAGAGAACCAGGUAAGAGGUCUUCAGCCAGCACCAGGCAAGCAGGAACAAGGUACGUACAUAUUGAACAACACAGAGAUAUUCAGGAGGGGGGUACAGGGACUGAUCUUCAUUACAGCCCUGGGAAAUAGCCUCUGCACCUGCUCUAGGCAUCCCCUGAUGGCAAGUACCCAGAAACCUGUCGUCCAAGUCAGCGGCCAAAGCACACCUCCAUCCUGCCCCAACACCAUGAACGCAGCUGCUAUCUGCCUAUAUUCUCUGGUGACCUCUACUCCUCUCUAAAGGCUGAACUAGGUACAGUCAGGGAACAGAAGCGAGAACAAUGCCUGGACCUGGGAAGGACUGGCAAAGUUUGGGUUAGCUCUUCAAAUAAAUAGGAAGCAUGCUCAAUAGAUCAAGAAUGAGAUGGAGACUAUCAUUUAGCCCUUCCUCUAGCCCAUGGGGUAGAAAGUACUAUUGAGCCCAUGCUGCUGAGGACUAAGCCUAGCUCCUACUCUUCCUGUGUCCUCACAACAGAGCACUGGGCAUAGGGAUGAGGAGAGGAGCUACACAUGGAGAGAAUGUCCUCUGUCUGAAAAUCUCUCGGUCAGGAACGUCAAUGUGGUGAUUUCAGCAGGGCUCCCCAGCCCUUUCUGCUGGGUGUUUUAAGUACCUCGUUCAAUGAUGCUACUUUUGCUUGCUCUCCCAACUGGACAAGUCCUGUCAAUUCUGCUACCUGCUAUAAGUGCUCAGUCUAGUGGUGUUUUGCUAACCCACGUCUGAUUCUAUCUGUCUGCUUUUGUUAUUUUCCUUUCCACCUUUGCUUGCUAUACACACAGGGAACUCGCACAUUCAAAACCAAAAGUUCAACUAUCACAGGCCUCUGUACAGAGCAUAAGUGAGAUGAGCUCAAAUUGGCUUCAUUCAUCUAACAACACGUCAAGAUUCAUCUUUGUGGCUUGGUAGCCCAUUUAUUUUAAAACGAGGAAUAAUGUUCCAUUUUAUGGCUUUUUAUUUGUUCUCUCAUUCACCUUUUGAAGGAUAUUGGUUGCUUCCACUUUUGAGAUGGUUCUUGAUAAAGCCACUAUAAAUAUUAAUGCAAAGACUUUUAUUUACUUAUUUUCAACUCUGUUAAGUGAAUAUCUAGAGGUUCAAUUGUAAGGUCACACACUAAGACCAUGCUUAGCUUCUCCAGCCAUCCAACGGUCUUCCAACGCCAUUUUUGUUUCGCAUUCCCAAUAGCAAUGGAUGAGAACUCCAGAGGCUGCACACCGGGCCAGCAGUGCCACCAGGUUUUGGAUUUUUCCCUUCAACUAGAUGUGUAGUGAUAUCUCACUGUUCUUUCUACUUGCUUGAAUCUUGCUACUGAUAAAUGACAUUGACUUUUUUUAAGUGUCUUUUUUUUUUAAAUGUAUGUGAGUACACAUCACUCUCCUCAGACACUCCAGAAGAUCCCAUCGCAGAUGGUUGUGAGCCACCACGUGGUUGCUGGGAAUUGAAUUCAGGACCUCCGGAAGAGCAGUCAGUGCUCUUAACCCCUGAGCCAUCUCUCCAGCAGAAUCUACAUAUCUUUUUUGGUACGGUGGCUAUUAAAAUAUUUUGCCCAUUUCAAAAUGAUGUGAUUCGUGCUUUCUUAUUGUUGACUCACGAGAUUUCUUUGUGUAUUUACAUAAUGUUCUUGUCUCUGGGAUGGCUCUGUCCGUGUUGCUCCCUGAUUCCCUGCCUCUGCAAAGCCCGAGUUCAGAACACAUGGAAUGUUCUACCAUCUGGCCUCACAUGUCCAGGCUCAGAAAAUUUGUGAGGGCGAUGCUAGUACGAUGACUAUACACUUAGCUGCCUCCCUCGGUAUCUUGACUACGUCAGAAGGGUUCCGGCAGGUUUCUAUCACUCCCUUUUGACAUCUCCAGGACCCUGAGAAGCAUCCAUUUCUGCCCAGGCACCAGAGUCAGUGGUGACUCGACAACAGCAUCAGUCAAAUGGCUGUGUAGUCGAAUCACAGGGAAAACACAGGGACUGUUUUAUAGAUGAAGCUCAGCUCAGGGAUGGGGCUAGGGCUUUACACCAGGGAAAGACAAGCAGUGUUUGGCCUGCUUUGGAUGGAACAGAUGAAUUCUAGAAGUCUUCGCCAUUCACACUGCAAAGCCAAUGGCACACAGGAGCAGGCAGAUACCAGGACCCCAUUCCUGACCAGCAGGGCUCGACUCCUCAAUUUCAACAAUCCGGGCUCUUCUGGCCCCGAUGUUAGUUUGAACACUGUGUGAUUUAGUGUAUCCACUGAUCACCACUGAGGAGUGUGUGGAUGACACUGACCUGAGGAUUCAUGAGAGGAUGGUGUACCCAGUGUCAGAAAAUCCAUCUUGAGGGAAUGAAGACGUCAUAAAAAUGUGUCAUGAGAAACUGUCCUCUGGACCCAUGCUAUUGAUUUCUACCAUAAAGGAAGCAUCCUUACAAACCAGAGACCCAGAGAGCCUUUUACUUUAUUUAUCUAUUUAACUUUUGGUAUGCGUGUGCACGUGUGAUCUACAUACAUGUUUCCUGUGUAUGUACAGACAUUUGUAUGUGUGGAGGUCAGAGAUAGACAAGCAUCUCUAUCUAGUGCUUUAGAAAAAACCUGAAAAUUCUUUCUUUUCUUUUGCCUCUACUCUUUUUCUUUCUUUCUUCCUUCCUUCCUUUCUUCCUUCCUUUCUUUCUUUCAUUCUUUCUUCCUUCCUUCCUUUCUUUCUUCCUUCCUUUCUCUCUCUCUCUCCCUCUUUCUUUCUUUCUUUCUUUCUCUCUUUCUUUCUUUCUUUCUGUCUUUUCUUUCUUACUUUCUUCUUUCCAAAUAUCACAAAUGAUGCUCUCUCUCUCUCCUGGUCCUCCCCCCUUCUUCCUUUUCUUCUCCUCUGAGAAGGUAGGGCCCCCUGAAUUUCCCCACACCCUGGCACAUCAAGUCUCUACAGGAUUAGGCACCUCUUCUCCUACUGAGGCCAAACAAGGCAGCCAAGGAGACUGAGCUACAUGUCUGCUACAUAUGUGUCAGGGGCUCCGUUUUAGCCCUUGUAUGCUUUUUUGGUUGGUGACUCAGACUCUGAGAGCUCUCAGGGGUCCAGGUUAGUUGACCCUGUUGGUCUUCCUGUAGGGUUCCCAUCCCCUUCAGGGCCUUCAAUCCUCCCCUCGACUCCUCCAUAAGGGUCCCUGACCUCCCGGCAGCUGACUAAAACAGAUGGAGACAUCCACCUUACUUUUGAGGACAGAGUCUCUCAGUAAACCUGGAGCUGUAUCUAGGCUGACUAGAUAGUCAGUGAGCCCCUAGGAUCUGCCUGUCUCCAUCCGCCAUUGUUGGAGUUAUAAAUAUCCACUUCCAUGCUUAGCUUUUACAUGGGGGUGCUGGGAUUCAGAUCUUCACGUCUACAGGGCAGACACUUUACCAACAGAGCCAACUCUCCAUCACUGGGUAGGUAGGGUUCAUGGGAUAGGAUGCAGCCUAGACAAAUCCCUGUGCAGGUAGGAUUUUUUAAAGGGGGAAGGAACUGCAGAAACUCCCAGACUUUUUGUAUCUUGGUGCCCUGCAGGAUGUUUGCAGAUCCACCAUUCCAUAAGAAAAUACCCUCUUCAAAAGGCUACCCCAGAAUGCAUGUUAUCUAUCCAAGACCCAACAGCAGGAAGAGAGGAUCUCAAACCCAGCUCUCCUGCCUCCUGUUAGUCAGGACGUCCCCUGGGCUCCUGUCCCUAUCUCUGGGAGCACCCCCAUAAUCGUUCAGAGAACUAAGGCCCUGGGCAUCCAGCCUGGCUGACAGCCAGGCUGGACACACAUGUGAGUUAUUUUCAUGGGGCAGCAAAUUCUGGAAAAUAUGUGGUUUAGAAGCAACAUAAUUAUAAUCCUCUAAAAUUAGGCUCAUAGUCUAAACAACUCCAAGUCGCUCUCGUACAAAAAAACAAACAAUCGGAGGCAGGAAGCCUGCAGCGGUGGGCGUCACGUUGGCCAACAGGCCUUUGAGUUUCCCUGCUGAGCGAAAAAGGCAAACAGCAUGCAAAAAUGUAAAUAUUAUAUUAUUUUCUCAAACACCACCUCUUCCAUUCUCACCCCAGCUGCCUUCGCCCGUCCACCUCGGCACCAGGGAAUGACCCCGCCCGCCUACCCCCACGCUCUGGCCAAGGAAGAUGGAGAUGUGUUUUUUUCAGAAGCCAUUAUCUAAACUGCCGCUGUAAUAAGGCAGCAAUAUGAAAUUCCCUUAAUAACUCCCGCUUAGUUAUUUAUUGUGAACCGGGGGUGCAUGCUUCUUGAUUCCAUUUCCCAGCCAAACGUAAGUGCAGCUUUCAUCGUGAGCGCCUGAAUUUAUGGCAAACAGGACCAAGUGACAUUAAGAAAGCCGCACAAUCCCUUCAUUCAGGCUUUAAUAAGGAAGCCGAGGAAAAAUUAUCCUAGCUGGUUUGCGGGUGACAGCACAAGAAGUUUCUGGAGUCAGAAAGUUAGCGCUGCGCCUCCUUGUCAGCCCAUUAAAAAGGAAAGCUGGCAUGCUACGAUAUUAGAACCAUGUGUGAGAAAGAAUUUCUCCUCUGGUAAGACACUCCAAAUACUGUCUCCCAGCCGAAGACUUUGGUGUUAGACUAAUUUAAGCAGCAUGCUGAACUCAGCGUUUGGGACUUUGAUCAUGCUGGGAUCGUUUGUAACAAAUUGAACUAACCCAGCCUCGAUUUCUGGCGGAUCAGAACUUUGGAUUUGUUGAAUUAAAUGCCUCAUUUAGUGCUGUUUGCACAUGAAAAGGAACGCUGUACUCAGGAAUCUGAUAGCGAAUUUUUCACCUAACCAACAGGUCUACUUUUUUAUUACUUUUAAACCUAAUCCAUACUCCAUCCGCACUGUUCCUAAUGACCCCAGGGCUGUUCAGAGUGAAGUUUUAAAUCAACUCCCAUGUUAUUGGGGGCUGGGGAGGCAGCAGCAGGGCAGUAGGGCUUGACUGAGGCAUCCUUGAAUUAUCAAACCGUGUAAUAAAGAACACAUUGGAACCCGGUACCGAGAGAAAACGAAGGGAAAAGUAAAAUAAAUUAGUCCUCGAUUGUUAUUUACUGUCUAAAUAACCUGGUCUCCUUUCAUGACAACCGUGGGCUAAAAUAACAGGAUGAUUUGUGCAGACCUACGAUUUUUAUAUGUUGCCUGUCUGGUCCGGUUGAAACUUUGAGAGAGAAGGUUAAAAGGGCAUGGGAUAGGCCAUUUCCACAUAUGGCUGCACUUUCUGUAGAUUUUUGAAGUUCUAAUAUAUUUAACUGUAGAUAAUGAUAUUAUAAACUGUCAUUUAGUGCAUUUCAGGUACAUUACUAAAUACACGAAACGCAGAUCUGGGAGGAACUUCUGCUGCUGCUGGUGGUGCUGCUGCUGCUGAGAUCUUAACAAAAGCAUUCACAAGUGUGACUCGGAUCUGAGGAGCGGGAGGUAGGCAGUGGACUGGCCCAGACCUGGCAGGAGAUUGACACAAAUGAAGACAGCCCGUCUUCAGAAGGUAAAGCCAAUACUGGCCAAAUAAUAGUCUAUUUAAGUAACCACCAGGGCUCAACACACAGCAUUACGUGAGAUUUUACUUCUGCUUUAUUUGAUUCUCCUAUAACUUUAUUCCUCUGUGUGUGUGCGUGUGGGGGGGUUCAAAAGCCAUCCCUAUAUCAGGUAUUCUGCAGCCUUCGAAUCUCAGAUAAAUGCAUACAGACACAAGCCUGCGCACACGCGCGCACACACACACACACACACAUAUGUGCACAUGUAUACAUUCACACACACACAAACGUGCAUGUAUUUUCACAUACAUAUGAACACAUGCAUGCACUCACAUACACAGAUGUACUCAAACACGUGCAUGCAAUCGCAUGCAUGCAUGUAGGCUCAAACAUGUGUAUUAUUCAUGCAUACACAAAUACAUAAAUAUGCGCGUACUUACAAACACAUGUACUCACUCAGAUGCACAUGAACACAUGUACACAGUCACAGGUGCACAAACACAACCACAGAACUACCAAUAUUUUAAAAGCCGUUUUUACCCGAUCCCUGUGUGCUGUUACAUAAAUCGUCACCUGCAGUCUCGAAUGUUCUCUGGAAUGAGCGUUGCCUUCAUUUAAAAGGAACAUAAGUUAAUUAUUAUUUUAACAUGUCACUGCUAUUCCAUGCCAGAAAAGUCAACAGAUGAUUCUCCCUUUUUAUUGGCAUGAAGAUGGGCUUGAUUUCCCUCCCUCCUCUUUGGAGAGAGAAAACGGUUACGAAACAGAUAGCGAUAAUAAAUGCUUUAUUGGUGAAAAAAGAAAGAUCAAAUCUUUAAUGAAAUCAGGAUGGGCUUAGAGAUGAACUCCGUCUGAACUCACCAGGAUUCAUGGGACUUCAAUUAAAACAAUUUCAGAAGGGCAUCUGACAGCAACGACUGGGACUGUAAUUAAAAUUGAGCAACAUUUUAGCACCAGGCUUUCUGGAAGGAUCCUGGCUGUAUGGCAGCCCAGGGGAAGAAGGCCAGGACGCUAGAGAGCACAGGUGAGGAGAUUGUCACCGGAGUCUGAAUUUUUCUACCCUCUAUUUUCACAGUAUCUGUAUGUUUGGAAAGAAAGAAAGAAAGAAAGAAAGAAAGAAAGAAAGAAAGAAAGAAAGAAAGAAAGAAAGAAAGAAAGAGAAAGAAAGAAAGAGAGAAAGAGAGAAAGAAAGAAAGAAAGAAAGAAAGAGAGAGAGAGAAAGAGAGAAAGAAAGAGAGAAAGAGAGAGAAAGAAAGAAAGAAAGAAAGAAAGAAAGAAAGAGGAGAAAAGAAAAGGAAACUGGCUUUUCUCAGCCACAGAUUGUCAUUUUCAACCCAAAAGCUUCUUUACAAAACAACAACAGCCUUUUGUGAGUUAGAUCCAGGUCGCACACUACUGUAGUUGAGGCACACACUACAGAGCCAGGACACCUGGCUUCCAGUCUUGCUUUCCACGUGCUAGCUGCUAGCUGACUGAUCUUAGCCAAGCUGACUUCUCUUGGCCUCUCCUGUAAAAUAGGACAUCGACAUCACUAGAGUUGCAGAGUGGCUCCAAUGGAGAAUUCCACAUUAAGUCUGUGACGCUGUGCCUGUCACCUAGUCAGCAUCCACAACUGGGAGCAAGCAUUGUCCUUGGCAGGAUGGAAAGCCGGGGACAGGACCUGCAGAUGUCCAGCUUCUCCUGUGAAGGUCCCACGAGGGUCCCCUGCUUGGAACUCUUCUCCGGCUUGAGAUGGCAUGAAGGAGUCCUGUUUUAUUGCCACCAGGGGCUCUCUGCAGUGCUCACACUUACCAAAUCCAGAGAGGACAAAAGGCCCCAGGAUCUGCCCGGGGAACCAUCCAAGCAUACCAGAGAAUCACCAGAACAGAUCAACACUCACUCACUGACUGGCCCCGGUAGAUCACCAGGGACAAACUCCAAGCCCACUGCUGACCAGACCAGGAUGUUGGAGUUGACUGAUACUUUCUGGAAGCAUUCAGCACCUGAAGGAGUUGAAUGUAGGCUUUGGUGCCAGUCUCCUGCUAUUUCUGUAAGUCAAAUUUCUAAUGGACUGAAGAAGCCCAACCUAAGGAUAACAGGGGAAAAUUAAUUACAUCUCCUUUGGCUUGCCCUCUAAUAUUUUUUUAUAGCUGUGGCAGCAGAAUUGCCUUCCAAAUUAUAUUGGUCCAAGUUAUUAAAACGACUUUCAGUUCCCAGGAAUAUAGAAAGAGGCAACCAGGCAGCCAGCUGAAACAUGGGGAGUCUUUUCUCUCCCCCUCCCCCUUUAAACUUACUGUAGUAGAUAGGCCACGUGCAGAUAACUGAGAAGUGACUGCUUCCAUUUUCAAUUAAUCCAUUUCCUCUGGUGUCUGGUAUUUAGCCCUCGACUUCUUCUGGUUUACAGUGCAAACUGACACUCUCUUAACACUCCAAAUCCAUUAGACACUUUUCUUUUCCCCCAUGAACAAAGGAGAAAUGUUUUCGUGCAACUUUAUGGAAGCCAUCAAUCUCCUUGAAAGCCUUGCCACGCUCAACAGAAUCCACAUUAUAACUUAUGCAAAACAGAGGGCGGGCAGCAUGGGGGGAAAGCCCCGUUUCUCAGAACAGUAGCAGUGCAUUAAAGAAAACAUGCUUUUCUGCUGAAAUUCAUAUUGGUAAAUGGAUUUCCCAUCUGAAACAUUGUUUUUCACUAAGAGAAGCUUUUAAUCCCCUUAAGUUCCUUUCUAAUCUGCCUUGGAAGUGCCUGUCUCAGGAAUAUAACAGCAAUGAUAUAACAGAUUUAAUUUAUUAAACGAGGAGGCAGCAGCCAGCAGAGUCCCUGAGAGAGCCUUGUGUGAGACUGGCAUUCUCAUUCCCAAGUGGGUACAGCCCCAAGUUCAGAUGGGAGCUCCCUGGGCUCUCCCUAGGGCAAGCCCUCCACUUUCACAGGACACCUUCUACUGACUAAGAGAUACAAGAGAGCUGAGGGAGUCAGGCUUCCAGACUUACUGCUCCCUGCCUUCUUCCACUGUUCAGUUGUCUGAGGAACAAGCAACAGGUCUCAGGCAGCAACCACCAAGCCCAAGAGGGCCUGUGUGCUAAGAUUGAAGAGGGAUCUCAGUGGGGUACUUAGCUUGUCUGUGUACACCUUGGGUAGGUAGCGUGUGACUCCAGUGACACAAAAGUCAGAAGGACAGGAGAGGGCACUGCUGGCCACCUCAUCUGAAUUCACUCCCAGAGAAGACAAAAGAAAAUGAUAUGACAGUUAGUUAGCCCCACUCAAGUCCAAAGUCACCUGAUUCAGGAAGGCAGCAGGAAGGUCAUCCUUGUGACUUUGUUUGUUUUAUCCAACUGGUGGAAUGGUUGACUGGACACCAUUGUGCUGGCAACAGACACCCACAGAGAACUCUGUCUUCAGAACAGAAAACUUUUCAUGUAUUCACUCAGUUCCUACUUAUUGAUGCGUUCAGGAGCCUGCCCCCGACUCCCUGGAAUAAUAUUCUUCCAGUCCUAAGACAUAACCUGAUUUUAGCACAGGGCAGUCAUGAAACUUUUUAAUGUCAGUGCCUCUGCUGCCAAAGUACCAAAGUCAAGAACAUAGCUUCUGGAAGGACAAACAUGUGGGUUCAAAUCUCAAACCCACUGCUUGCAAGGGAGGACACAAAUAAGCCAGUCCUCACUGUGAUGGUUGAUCUCAGUUGUCAACCUGACGUGGGGUGAUUGUUCUGGAAACGGUGUCCAUGUGGUAUUGGUUGUGGAUCUGGGCAAGGUGCAAAAUCGAGAGUCUCAUGAAGUCUUGCUUCAGAGAGCAGCUCAGGCAGAGCAGUGAGUGGCAGACUAUUGCAUAAAUCUGUGAAGGGAAAGCCUGAGUACCCUAGGAUACUAGAGAUGCCAGGACCAUAAGACGUCCACUGAAGAAAGCUGAAGGCAUGGGAUGGAGUUCCCCUACGAGACUAAUUGCUGCAGGUGGCAGAAAUAAAGGAGUGAGGCUACCCAAAAUCUUUAGGUCCCAGAUGAUUAUGAGUCCCAGAUGCCAGACAUGGAACCUCAGGACUUGGUGUUUCCUUUCUGGGCUUUAGUAUUCCUUUGUUCUGAUCAUUCCUUGCUAUGUUCCAAUUCCUAGAACAGGAAUGUUCAAUGUGCGCCAAUAUUUGCUGGAACUUGUUCUUGAUUUUCUAGGAACUCACAGUUAACAGAUUAUCUUAAAUCUCGGAUGGAACUUGAAGUUUAGGCUUUUAAAUUAUCAGUAUAGUUGAAAACAACCCCCCCCAUGGCACCCGAACAAACAAACAGACAAAUAACUAUGGGGUCAAGGGGUAAAAUGUCAUGAUUUAAAGUGAUAUAUUUGGGUGCCAUGUUGACAAGGCAUGGUAUUAUAAUGGUUAAUCUCAAUUAUUUACUUGAUAAGAUCUAGAAUCACCUAGGAAAGAAGUCUUUGGGCAAUCUGUAGGGUACUAUCUUUAUGAGAUUAAGUGAAGUGGGGAAAAACUACCCACUACAUGGUAGAACCAUUCCCAAGGACGAGAUCAUGAAAGGAACGUGUGAGCUGAACGUGCGUCUUGACCAUGAAUGACUGUGACCAUGGCCGUGACCAUAAAGCAUAACCAGUUUUUCCAAGCUCCUGAUGGUGCUUCCCCUACAAGAACUGUCUAUAACUUCAACCUACAAGAUAUAAGAAACUCUUCCUUUUGUCAGGAAUUUUAACACAGAAACAGAAACAUAACCGAGAUGCUCAACAAGCCGUGCUGUCUCUUCUGAAGAAUCAGACGGGACUGCUUACCAUCAGUGAGAAAUAAGAGCUACGUGAACACUGUUUAAAGACAGCUAGUAUAGCUGGCCUGUGGUGGCACACGCUUUUAGUCCCCACACUUGGGAGGCAGAGGCAGAUGGACCUUUGAGUGCGAGGUCAGCCUGGUCUACAGAGCGAGUUCCAAGACAUCCAGCGCUUCAGAGAAGCCCUGCCUUAAUUAAUUAAUUAUUUAAUUAACAGCAUCGCACAGGUAUUUACCUGUGCAUGCGCUUAUUCUAUCCACUGAGCAGUUCUUCAGAUGUUUAUUGAACACCUAUGAGGAGCCUGGCUGGGUAACAGACAUGGUUUGUGAGGUGAUAUCCCUCCCUUAGUCUUACAUGCUGGGACAUUUCGUUCCUAGCUCUCGGUACUAUUUUUGGAAGACUGGGGAACCUUUAGGAGGUGGGUCCUCACUGGAGGAAGUAGAUCAGGUGAGACCUGAGGUUUUAUAGUCUAUUCCUACUUUCUAUUGACCCACUGUUUCCUAAUGGCAGAUACAAUGUGACCAUCCCCUUCCUGAGCUUAACACCAUGCCUUUCUUGAUAGGAUGGACUGAAUCCCUCCAUAACCCGUGGGUCAGAAUAAAUGCUUCUGUUGUUCCUGCCAGGUAUUCAGUCAUGGCAACAAGGAAAGUGACUGACAAAAGACAACCCUUGAUAGUCUGUUGGUGUUGACACAUGCCUUUAAUCCCAGCGCUCAGAGUUUGAGACCAGCUCUAUAGACCGAGUUCCAGAACAGCUAAGGCUACACACAGAAACACUGUCCCAAAACACUAAAACAAACAAAAACAAACAACAACAACAACAACAAAAAAUAAACCUUGAUGGAAGUGUAAUUUUUAUUCACUCUUUCAUUUUAAUUUUACAACCCCAUCAUUCUUUUAUGGUACCUAAUUAGGGCAGGUGUAAUCACCUUCAUUUUAGAAAGGAGCAGACAGUUCCUUCAGGAUUAGGAAACUUUGUUGACACCAGAAUUUAAAUCUCCAGGACAUGGCAUCUGAGGUAAGCCUCAGCCUGCACCUCUCCUAGGAUAGGAUUUUCCAGACAAGCUUCCUAAAUCUAGGCAAGGUGGUGCAGUAACUCAACACCCCAGUGGACAUAAUCCCCACAGUGUCAGGACAUACCCCAUUCUGAGACAAGUGUGUGCUUCGUGGGAAACCCUGCCCCACACUCAGUGGGAGCUGGAGAUCUGCUCUGUCCAGACACCAUGAAAGAGGCCAGAGAAGGAGCAUGGGGGCAGGCGGGAACUUGACGCUUAUUAAAAUCACUUGCUGGCAGCUGUGCUCAGGCCCCAUGCUGCCCAGAGGCAGGAAGCUGGGCGAAGUGGGGAUCAGUGGCUCGUCCUGACAGGCAGGAGCUGGGGAGACUGGGCUGAAGAUGGAUGAGGGGGCAAACCAGCCCCCACAAUCCUGAUCUUCAUGGCCCAGCAAGGCAGGUUUCCAGACUGGCCACUUCCCCAGCUCUUUAAUUGCAGGCCCAGAAUGGAGGGGUAGCAUGGCUUUUCAUCAUCCCAGAUACGAAUAACUUCAAGACAGUGACAAUCUUACAUCUGAAAAAUUAACUACACCCUGCCACCCGAACCUCUCUGUGGCCAGAUUAAGUUCCCAGGGAGAACUGCCCAUGGGAGGCAAAGCUCCAGUCACAGGAAAACUCCUGGCGUCAGGGGUCUCUAGUUAAAAUCCUGUUUAGAAGGAAGACUGCUUCAUGCCUCCUCCUGGCUCCAAACACUGGGAUUCACAUCCCACUGGGCUGAGGGCUCUGCCUUCCCUUUGGAGGAGUAAAGGCUCCAAACCAAGACAUUCCCCUCCCACAAACUGGAUUAUAACCAAACCCCACCUUCCUUCAACCUGGAUACAGUGUGAACCAGAUAUAGUGCAAGCCGGAUAUAGUGCAAGCUAUGUCUCUCUUCUCCAUAAGAGACAUCCUUCUCUUGGCCUGACUAAAAUCCCUCCCCACUCCCACUGUUCACAUAGGUCAUUCAAACACCCAUUGUUUUGACUUCUCACCAGAAAUUUCUAUAUACAUAACUUCUAUCUCAAAACACCAAGCCAGGCAUGCCUUCCUCCUUACUCUUAAGUAUGUCUAAUUCUCUUCCUUCUCAUUUGGGUGAAGUGCCUAACCAGUGUCAUCUUCAAGUUCUGGGUUCUGUUUUUUUGGUUAAGCCUAACGUGGCUUUGUGCUUUGCAGAAACUGGCUAGUUUUCUUUGUUAUGUCUACCAGUGAGCCCUGGGCCAUCAAGUCCACAGGUCCUUUCAUAUUAGUUCUCAGAUAGCCCAGGCUUCUUCCCAAGUCUCUUCUCUUGGCUUCUGGCCUCACCCUGUCACCCCUCCAGCAGCCAUUUCUUGUUGUGCCCCCAAAGCACUCUUCAGUCUCCACCUUACUUUCAUUAGAUUCUAGAAACUAACCUGUUUUCUCAGUUCUGUCAUCUCUCAAAGGUGAGCUCAUUUGUCCUCAUGGUUUGAAAUAUCAAUAAACAGUGACUCUCAAAUUCUUGUCCCAUUCCAGAAGGUUCCCAAAAGCUUCACUUUGGACAUCAGCUCUCUUUAUGUAGACAUUUAAAAUAGACCCCCUCAUCUCACCAAGCCCACAACCAGACAGUCUGCAGGACAAGAAAUGUAAGCUGUCUCAAAGAUGUUCAACUCCACUGGAAAUGAACAAGAUGGAUCCACCAUGGCAAAAAUGGGGUGUGAUCGCCAGUUGGACAAAGGGAGAACAAAGCACUCACUUAAGCAUGGUGGUGAUAGGUGUUUUUGGAGAUGGGUGCCUUUGGAGAUGAGUAAGGAAAAUACAUUGGUGUAAUCUCUGCCUAGGUAAGUUGUCAAGAAGUGUCAAGAUGAAUACACACAUCCCCUUUAACCCAGCAACUGUACUUCUGGGACCGUAUGCAAUGGAGGCACCCCACUAUAUACUCAAUAUGUGUAUUUCCCUCUCGUAGUAUCUGCUGGACUGAUGCAGUAAUUUCUUCCAGGUAGAUGCUGAAAGUGCUCAGGGAAAUAAAUACUGUGAGCAUUUUCUUAAUUAAUGGUUGAUGUGAAAGGGCCCACCCCAAUAUGGGUGGAGCCACCCCUAGGCUAGUGUACCUGUGUCCUCUAAGGCAGAAGGCUGAGCACACCAUGGGGAGCAAGCCAGUCAGCAGCACUCUGUCAUGGCCCCUGCGUUAACUCCUGCCUCCAGGUUCCUUCCCUGUUUGAGUUCCUGUCCCGACUGCCUUUGAUACUGAACUGUGAACGGAAGAGUAAGUGAUAUGAACCCUUUCCUCCCCAACCUGAUUUUGGUCCUGGUGUUUCCUCACAGCUAGAGAAACUUUGAUUAGGAGACCAAGUCACUAGAGGAGAAAUGAGACAUCCAGCUAAUAAUCUCGUGCGUUACAAUAAUGACCCACCUGCAACAGUAGGAGUAUAAAAACAUGGUUCCAAGGGUAGCCACCAGACUCACUCACAAAUAGAAGGUGUGGUAGUUUGAAUAUGCUUGGCUCAGGUAAGGCACUAUUAGAUAGGCCUUGUUGGAAGAGGUGUGGCCUUGUUGGGCCUUGAGACCUUCCUCCUAGCUGCCUAUGAGACAAUCUUCUCCUCUUUGCUUUUGGAAUAAGAAAUAGAACUCUCAGCUCUUUUUCCAGUGUCAUGCUUGCCUGGAUGCUACCAGGUUUCCAGCCAUGAUGAUAAUGAACUGAACCUCUGAACCUGAAAACCGGCCCCAAGUAAAUGUUGUUCUUUAUAAGAGUUGUCUUGGUCAUGGUGUCUCUCCACAGCAAUGCAAACUCCAAGACAGAAGGUAUCUUUACAAGCCUUUCCAGGAUGUUUCUUAAAGUUUAAUAUCCUUAAUUUUAAAAGUUAAGGUGCCGUGGGUCCUAUUCAAUCUGCUCUCACAGGAAUCUUAAAGGCAUAGAGACAGAGGAUAGAGACAGGCAUUCCAUAGAUGUGCUAGAAGUGGCUAGAAGUAGACACACACAUUUGUUCCACGGCCUGCCUAUGGUGCAAAGACACAGCUUCGAAGGGGCUGGGAGACUUCCCUUAUGUGUGAUUUGCUUAGUUUCAUUUGUUGGACUUCAGUGUUAACAUGGAGUGAUGUUUCCUCUUCCUGCUUCUCACCUCUAGGUCUUCCACUUGAUUGGUACCUAAACCAUUUUAUCUACUUCAAGGCCCUCUUUUCUCUUGUCUGCCAUAGAGUACCUCCUCCAACAGCUGUGUAGAAUUUUAGGUUUUCAGGGAAGAUUUAGUUCAAAGAUCUCUGCCCAGAGACUUGUUUCUCCCUUUCAGAAAUGGUGUCCUUACUGGUCACCCUCCAGUCAGCCCUUGCUCCUGACACUUUAUUUCAGUGCAUUCAUCACUAAUGUGACGUACAACUCUUUAACGUGCUGUUGUUUACCACUGCACAGGUCUCUUGACCAUUCUCCUCACAGAAUAGUGUUGAGAGCUCUGCAGACUCUCAAGACAUAUGUUUUAACUCUACAAACGAUUUGAUUGCACAGGGAAAAAAUAGUAAAGAUAUUUAAAUGUCAUAUACCCAGAAAAUAGGAUAUCAGAAGCCACCAGUUUAGAGCUGGGUCAGAAAUCCCCAGUCAGCCACAGCAGCCCAAUCUACCUGCAUGAAUGCCAAUUUGCUGAACACCAAGUGGCAGGAUGGACUUGGAACCAGAGAUCUUCGAACUGAAUCUUCCCUGAAAACUGAAUGUUCUAAAUGGCUGUUGGAGGACCCAAAGAUGAGUGAGUCUGAGAGGAUUGGGAGCAAUGAGAACCGACAGACUGGAAAGUAAUGGGAGGAACUUCCCCAGAGGAAGUGUCCUUCCUUGCUGCACCCCUUUUUAAAGGGAGGUUGGAGCUAGAGAGAUAAGAAUCCAUGAAGAUCCAGGCAGGCUCUUGCCUGGGCCUUUCUGUUACUCCAUUGUGUCACAGUCCACAUUGCUAAGGAAGGAGGGAAUAAGUCAUUACCCUGUUCCAAACUCCAAGACUUGAAUGAAGGCAAGAGAGCAGUGAAUCUGUUAGCCACUGGGAGUCAGUCAGAGUAGUCCCUCCUGAGGGGAGUAGGGGUGGGGGCAGAGAUCAUCUUAGAAACCAUAGCUAAGAGAAAUCCUGUUCCAGAGUGUCCUAUUCAGACUUGGGCCCUCUUCAUAUAAUGCUCUCUGGGCCUUUUACUGAGGUAAGGCCAGGGAAACAUACCAGUUUCUGGUUACUGUUCAUCCCUGGAGUUCUGAUGCUAGCAUCUCUCCUUGGGGGCCUCCUGGGAAACCUUGUGUCUUUCUAAAUAGUACUUUCAAGUUUAGCAAGCCCUCGGGCUACCUGGUUAAAAGUUGACAUUAAAAAAAUCCUCUGUAAUUGGUUCCUUUGAACAAUGUCUUCUACAGAGCCAUCAAGGCAGGCUUGUUCAUUAGCCGCCAUCCCCAUAAAGCAGCCAGAUGUCAAUCAGUCUGAACAUUCAGAGCCUCAGUGGGGCUUCCUCUGGCCCCACUGCAUGCCAGCCUGGGUAAGAGCAGGCAGGGUAAGCACAGUCCAGCCUGUGAAAGCGGAGUCUCUCCUGCUGGCACUCCCGUCACCGAGUGACAGAUAAUCUGUGUGUGUGCCUUUGCACUCCUAUGCAAUAUAGGAUAUUUAUCAUAGUUUCUAGCCUCAGCCUCCUAGAUGCCAAUAUCCCCUUGGGAAACAAAACCAGCCUGAGAACCAGUCUUGUGAAGGUUUCUCUCCACUUGUCCAGCCAAAGGUUCGGGACAGAGAGUAACCAGCUCGGAAAGGAUAUAGCUCUGGAGGGUGUUGUACUAGAAGCCAAGCCUCGCGUUAAGCAUCAGCCAUAGCCAAAACCCAAAUAGUAUAUGUGGCCCUGGGCUGCUGCUGUUCUGGAAGAGAGUGCUAAGCCCUUAGCUGCUUAGUAGUGACUUUGUUCUCUGUGGGAGAUUUCUAGUGGGAGAGAAGGGCAGAGUGAUGUUGGGUGAUCUAGCAGGAGAGAAUGGAGUGAAUAAGUGCUUCAGAAACUCCUCUGGGGAGAUCACCAGCCACAGUUGCCAACCUCAUGUGGAAUUAAAAGCUUUAAGAAGGAGUGAUAGUCAUCUAGCCAGUAAUGAAGAGACUAAGUUGAUUAUCAGAUACACUGGUAAAGUUGGUAGAGUCGAACUUGUCACAUCACAUAGCCUUGAUAACACAAAGAAGGACAUUCUAUUAACGAUGGCCCUGCAUGGCUGCAGCUCACUGCUCUGGGGGCUGUCCCAGUAGAUAUAGAGACACCUUUAAGGAAAACACAGGGCAUUUCCCCUUAGUGCAAGGCAGCACCUUGUCUCCACACUGUGUUCUUGGAGGCUGACUGGUGGGUCCAGCAGGGCCAUUCUGAAAGUGGAAGUUUGUUGACUGGCCAUGGAAAGGUGGAUGCAGAGGGCAGGCAGAUAGGAGACGUGGCAGUGCAGACGUGAUGUGUACCUUCAUCACUGAAGAGUUCCUUCAAGCAAAAACAAUGUGAUCCCAAGAACUUGCCUCUGGCAGAUCCCAAAACACCCAGAGAGCUUCAGAGCUUUCCCAGGUGUUCAGGCUUCCUGGGACACAUCAAGGACUAUGGGCGUACAAGAAACAGGAGAAUUUGGUUACCUGGGAGUGAUUUCAAAUAGACAGUGAGGAGAUAGGAAAUGGAGUGGAGGUCUAGGAGGGGACCAUUGUCCGAGAAGAGCACUGCUCCUAAACCUGGCACCAUUUUCUCAGGGGGCCCAGAGAUGAUCUGGGGUGAGCUGAGGACACAGCUUUUUCUAACACUGGAUCACAUAUGGAGACAGACAUUCCUUUCAAGUCAAGGUAUGCAUCUGAGAAGAUCCAAGAAAGGCUCAGUUUGGUACUAAGAAACUGUCAAUUCUGCCUCCCCACUUGGUCAUCUAUUUUAAGAAAGCAAAAAGAAACCUUGGGCUCAAACCUUGGGCAGGGAAGAUGUUCUAGCCAUACUCCAACUUAACUUACAAGUAAAACUUACAGUAUACUUCACCUGAAUAAAUGUGACUCACUGUAAUGUACAAUUUUAUGAAUUCUGACAAACACAGGCAAUUGUAGAACUACAAUCCCAAUCAAGAAAUAGAAAAAUUCCACCAAAACUCUCCUUCCCAUAUGCUGAAGGUCAACUUCUUCCAGCCCCAUAAAUCAAUUCUCUCUCUCUCUCUCUCUCUCUCUCUCUCUCUCUCUCUCUCUCUCUCUCUCUCUCUCUCUCUCCUCCACGUCCUCUUCCUCCUCCUCCUCCUCAUCUUCCUCCUCGUCCUCUUCCUCCUCUGUCUCUCUCUCUCUCUGUGUGUGUGUGUGUGUGUGUGUGUGUGUGUGUGUGUGUGUGUGUGUGUGUUUUGUCCAGGCCAGAGGUUGAUGUCAGGUAUUUUUCUCAAUCAUUUUCUACCUUGUUCUUUGGUACAGGGUCUGUUACUGAUGCUGGAGCACAUUGACUCAGCUAGACAGGAUGGCUGGAGCCACAAGCCUCAGAGAGUCCUCCUAUCUCUGCCUCCCUGGUGCUGGGACUAUAGGAUCUACUGCCUGGCUUUUACAUGGCCAGUAGGCAUCGGACUUAGAUCAUCACACUUACACAACAAACAUUUUACAAACACAACCAUCUCCCCAUCGACUUGGUGAACUGUGUAUCUUGCUAUUUUGCUGAAAGUGUUUAUCAGAACUAAAAAGGUUCUAUUGUUGUUGUUGUUAUUUUGUUUUGAUGGAAUCUUAGGGUCUUUUAAGUGAAGUAUCAUGCUAUCUGCAAAUAAGGAUGACUUGACAUCUUCCUUUCUUACUGGUAUCCCUUUCCUCUCUCUCUUGUUUGUCUUGUUGGUCUUAUUGAUACUUCCUCACACACUACACUAAGCAAGGACAGUGAGGAAGGGGACACCAUCACCUUGUUCCUAAUUUUAGAGACAAUGAUUUCAGUUUUUCUUCAUUUAAAAUAAUGUUUGGAAUAGAUUUGUCAUGUAUAGAUAGCCUGUAUCAUGUUGAUGUAUAUUCCUUCUAUUCCUAGUUACUUCAAAGAUCUUUAUAGUGAAAAGAUACUGAACUUUCUCAGAGAUAUUUCCUAUAUCUAUUGAGAUGAUUACAUAAUUUCCAUCUGUAUGUCUACUUAUGUGAUAUGCUAUGUUAUAUUUAUUGAUUUGUGUACAUUGAACCAACCUUGAAUUCCUAGAAUGAAAUCAACUUGGUGCUGCUGUGUCAUCUUUAAUACGUUCUUAAAUUUGGUUUGUAAGUAUCUUAUCUGUGUGUGUGUGUGUGUGUGUGUGUGUGUGUGUGUGUGUGUGUGU